AGCGAACGCUGGCGGCAGGCCUAACACAUGCAGGUCGAACGGAUCCUUCGGGAUUAGUGGCGGACGGGUGAGUAACACGUGGGAACGUGCCCUUUGGUUCGGAACAACUCAGGGAAACUUGAGCUAAUACCGGAUGUGCCCUUCGGGGGAAAGAUUUAUCGCCAUUGGAGCGGCCCGCGUCUGAUUAGCUAGUUGGUGAGGUAACGGCCCACCAAGGCGACGAUCAGUAGCUGGUCUGAGAGGAUGAUCAGCCACACUGGGACUGAGACACGGCCCAGACUCCUACGGGAGGCAGCAGUGGGGAAUCUUGCGCAAUGGGCGAAAGCCUGACGCAGCCAUGCCGCGUGAAUGAUGAGGGUCUUAGGAUUGUAAAAUUCUUUCAGCGGGGACGAUAAUGACGGUACCCGCAGAAGAAGCUCCGGCUAACUUCGUG
rnacentral:rRNA from 1 species